UUUUAUUCUGGCUGUGUAAUAAGUGAGAUUUAAUAUGUACUUAUCAGCCUAAUAUCUGAUAGAGAUCCUAUUUGGAUCCAAGAUAAACAGAUUUUUGUAAUGAGGUUGAAUGCUUGAAGCUUGCUUCACCUACGCCAAGGGUUGGCCCAGUAUUGCACUUGAGGCUGACUCAGUUUCUCACUU